rnacentral:rRNA from 1 species
UACGUAGGGUGCAAGCGUUGUUCGGAUUUACUGGGCGUAAAGGGCGCGUAGGCGGCCAGCACAAGUCAGUUGUGAAAUCUCCGGGCUUAACUCGGAAAGGUCAACUGAUACUGUGCGGCUAGAGUGCAGAAGGGGGCAACUGGAAUUCCCGGUGUAGAGGUGAAAUUCGUAGAUAUCGGGAGGAACACCAGUGGCGAAGGCGGCGACCUGGGCCAAUAUUGACGCUGAGGUGCGAAAGCGUGGGGGAGCAAACAGG